rnacentral:rRNA from 1 species
UAGCCGUAAACGAUACUCGCUAGGUGUCGGCCACGGUGCGACCGUUGUCGGUGCCGUAGGGAAGCCGUGAAGCGAGCCGCCUGGGAAGUACGGCCGCAAGGCUGAAACUUAAAGGAAUUGGCGGGGGAGCACAACAACGGGUGGAGCUUGCGGUUUAAUUGGAUUCAACGCCGGGAAUCUCACCGGAUAAGACAGCUGAAUGAUAGUCGGGAUGAAGACUCUACUUGACUAGCUGAGAGGAGGUGCAUGGCGUCAGUGACU